GACAUCGGUAGUUAAGCGGUCCAAAGCAUUGGGGCGUGAACCUGAAGACGUGGGUUCGAAUCCCAGUCGAGUUCA